CAUCGAUGAAGAACGCAGCGAAAUGCGAUAAGUAAUGUGAAUUGCAGAAUUCCGUGAAUCAUCGAAUCUUUGAACGCACAUUGCGCCCGCCAGUAUUCUGGCGGGCAUGCCUGUUCGAGCGUCAUUUCAACCCUCAAGCCCCCGGGCUUGGUGUUGGGGCUCGGCCCGUCCCUAGCGGCGCGCCGUCCCCGAAAUCUAGUGGCGGUCACGCUGUACUCCUCUGCGUAGUAAUCUAACCUCGCAACGGGACAAAGCGCGGCCACGCCGUUAAACCCCCAACUUCUGAAGGUUGACCUCGGAUCAGGUAGGAAUACCCGCUGAACUUAAGCAUAUCAAUAAACGGAGGAA
rnacentral:rRNA from 1 species